ensembl:snRNA U6 U6 spliceosomal RNA
UUGCUUGCUACGGCUGCACAUAUACUAAAAUUGGAUCGAUACAGAGAAGAUUAGCAUGGCCCCUGCGAAAAGGAUGACACGCAAAUCGUGAAGCGUUCCAUAUUUGU